rnacentral:rRNA from 1 species
UACGUAGGUGACAAGCGUUGUCCGGAUUUACUGGGCGUAAAGAGCUCGUAGGCGGUCUGUUGCGUCGGCUGUGAAAACCCGGGGCUCAACUCCGGGCCUGCAGCCGAUACGGGCAGACUAGAGUUCGGCAGGGGAGACUGGAAUUCCUGGUGUAGCGGUGAAAUGCGCAGAUAUCAGGAGGAACACCGGUGGCGAAGGCGGGUCUCUGGGCCGAUACUGACGCUGAGGAGCGAAAGCGUGGGGAGCGAACAGG